rnacentral:siRNA from 1 species
CUAUUCAUAUUGGCUAAAAGGG